ACAUGCAAGUCGAACGGUCCAGCACUCAGAAUUUAUCUUAGUGCUGGGUAGUGGCGGACGGGUGAGUAACGCGUGGGUAACCUGCCUCAUACAGGGGGAUAACACUUAGGAAAUAGGUGCCUAAUACCGCAUAAGCGCACAGAGUCGCAUGACUCAGUGUGAAAAACUCCGGUGGUAUGAGAUGGACCCGCGUCUGAUUAGCUAGUUGGUGAGGUAAACGGCCCACCAAGGCGACGAUCAGUAGCCGGCCUGAGAGGGUGAACGGCCACAUUGGGACUGAGACACGGCCCAAACUCCUACGGGAGGCAGCAGUGGGGAAUAUUGCACAAUGGGGGAAACCCUGAUGCAGCGACGCCGCGUGAGUGAAGAAGUAUUUCGGUAUGUAAAGCUCUAUCAGCAGGGAAGAAAAAAUGACGGUACCUGACUAAGAAGCCCCGGCUAACUACGUG
rnacentral:rRNA from 1 species